ACAGAGGUGGCAAGCGUUGUUCGGAUUUAUUGGGCGUAAAGGGUCCGUAGGCGGUCCGGAAAGUCGGAUGUGAAAUCCUACAGCUUAACUGUAGAACUGCAUUCGAAACUUCCAGACUAGAGUAUGAGAGGGGUAAAGGGAAUUCCCGGUGUAAGGGUGAAAUCUGCAGAGAUCGGGAGGAACACCAGUCGCGAAGGCGCUUUACUGGCUCAUUACUGACGCUCAGGGACGAAAGCUAGGGGAGCAAACGGGAUUAGAUACCCCGGUAGUCCUAGCCGUAAACUAUGGUCACUAGGUGUUGGGGGGGUUAAACCCUUCAGUGCCGCCGCUAACGCAUUAAGUGACCCGCCUGGGGAGUACGGUCGCAAGGCUG
rnacentral:rRNA from 1 species